rnacentral:rRNA from 1 species
UACGGAGGGGGCUAGCGUUGUUCGGAAUUACUGGGCGUAAAGCGUCCGUAGGCGGCUUUUUAAGUCAGAGGUGAAAUCCCCGGGCUCAACCUGGGACCUGCAUUUGUGACUGCAUAGCUAGAGUACGGUAGAGGGGGAUGGAAUUCCGCGUGUAGCAGUGAAAUUCGUAGAUAUGCGGAGGAACACCGAUGGCGAAGGCAAUCCCCUGGACCUGUACUGACGCUCAUGCACGAAAGCGUGGGGAGCAAACAGG